CUAGGAGGUUGGGAGGCUGGCCAUGGCCUCAGACUACAUCCUACCCUUUGGCCUCUUCUGAAUCAAUUUCGUCCUUUUUUCCCUUCUCUAGCUCCAUGUCUCUUCUUAUUUCCUUUCUUCCUCCUCCCUCUCUGUCCCCAUUCACCUCCCCUGGGUCUCAGAGAAGACUGGACCGCUCCUUGCUCUCAAAGAUCACCAACUCCAGGUGGGAAGAGGAGGAAGAGCCAGCCACAGCUCGACAAGUGAUGGACAGAGGUCUGCAACGUACAGUGCACAUGGUCUUGUCCUGGGAGGAGGACCGCAAGAUCGUGCUUCGGAUCUGGUCUCUGGGCUUCAGCAUCCUCGCGACCCUCAUGUUGUUUAGCACGGUAGAUGGGCGGAUGGCCUACGUGCAGGGCUCCUAUACUGGCUACGUGGGCUUCUGGACUGACUGCAGGAGCCACAAGUGUGCCAGCCUAGGUCACGUUACUGUUCUCAUCCACAUGAGCCAGGGCUUCAUGAUUCUGGCCCUGGCCCUGUGCCUAUUCCUCCUCCCCUGCAUGGGCCUCUCCUUCUGGUCAGUGUUCCACCGCCUGAACAAGAUCGACUCCGUCUUCAGUUUCCUCGGCAUCAGCAUUGGUAUCUUUCAGUCCGUCACCUGUGUGCCUGCGUGUGUUUUUCUCCGCUUGCCGUGGAGGGUGGGAGAGGCUGUCUUCUCUUACUGGGCUUCCAGGGGUCACUGUCCAGCCUCCUGUCCGUCUCUGGCCCCACCCCAGUGCAGGGCUCCUGAUUCUUCUCAGCUUGACACUCUUUAUAGUCAACUGUAAGAUGAUACAACCGAGGCCCCAGAUAUUUUACCAGGAGACCUUCUACUCGUGCUGGUGCGCCUGCGGCUUGAUGCUGUGCGCUGGAACAGUGUCCUACUUAAACCAAGCGGGCAUGUGGAGCACAGGGGAGUGCACCACCGAGUGGCGAAUGAGCUAUCGCCGGUGGACUUUACACCACAGCGCUCUGUUGCAGGGAUCCCAACAGAAGGGCACAGACGAGACCCUUGGGCACACUCGGGUCCUGCCCAGUCCUGGCACUAGCCAGGGCGAGUCCUAAGCCCCUCCAAGGAGUAACACUCUAGCUCCUCAGGACACUGACUGGUAACCACGACCAGAUGCCACCCCACCACUCUCAGCGCCACCACAUCCGGUGGUUAGGGCCCCCUUGAGGCCACACCCUCUGAACAUAGCUGGCCAUCUCUGCCCCACGAGCCCUGACCCCGCCCACUGGGUCUUCAUCGUGCUCCACCCCGGAAGUGCCAUACGCUCUCCUCCCAGCUGACACCCUCGGACCUUCCAGUCGACCUUCCGGUCCCUGAGCCUAGGCCUAAUGGCUGGUUUCUGUGGCCCCAUCCGGGUGCCCAGCCCACGCUCCUAAGCAACUCUCUGUCCUGUCGGCCGGAGGAUACGCAUCAGAACUUCUCUCGUGGAGAUCCAGUCCCACCCCAGCUGUUCACACCUGUCCCAGGUGGACACGCGGCUGUCUAGUAUUGGGUGUAUCCCGCCCUUCUCCGGAACAGGCUCCUCCCCAUUUAGGGUGUGGCUUGUGAAAACGUCCCUCCACCCCCUUCCUGACUUCCCCUCCACAAUAAAAGGCAGGCACCGUCCAACCUCUUGAGCUGAGA